AUCACUACAGGAUCAUCGGUCUACUCUACCUCAAUUCACCAUUUCGAACUUUAUACAGAAGGUUUUUCCGUACCAGCUCCUUCUACCUAUACCUCAGUUGAAGCACCUAAAGGAGAAUUUGGUGUCUUUCUGGUCAGUAAUGGAAGCAAUCGUCCCUACCGUCGUAAAAUAAGAGCACCUGGCUCUGCCCAUUCACAAGGACUCGAUUCUAUGUCCAAACAUCACAUGCCAGCAGAUGUGGUCACCAUCAUAGGUACUCAAGAUAUUGUGUCUGGAGAGGUGGAUAGAUAG
rnacentral:lncRNA from 1 species